ACGCAGGAAAAUAAUAUGUGUGUAUUUACAGGUUUGGCGCUAGGCGGCGCAGUCCAGACCAAGUGUCGGAUUUUAGCAAGGCUUUCACAAAAUGUGCUUUUUCUCCCAGUAGCGUUUGGAACUCUUGGUGCCGUAAUUGUGUAUAAUCUUCACGAGAGAGGGAUUCUUCCCAGGACGAGAAACUACCGAAGAUGAAAUUGUAUUAUACCACACAAAAGCUAAUCAUACGAGAAAUCAAAAAGAAAAUGUGCUAUUCCAUGUCAGACUUCAGACACAGGGAGGGACGUCGGCUCGAACAACGACAUACCGACGGGAUUGAUUAAGCGAAACUUGAUCAAAAUGCUGACUUUUUAAGUACCUGUGAUUCGAUUGGCGCAAUGCAGCUCAACACGCUAAUCGUAAAGGCAAAGACAUUUGGGUGACCGGAAACGAGGUCAGACUCGUGAAUUUCAUGUUCAUCUAAGAGUUUCUGGUUGGUGUUUGACAAGCUGUUACCGUAUGCAAGUCGUGUUAUCCAAACUGUUUGCUCAACACUUUCUAUGUUUUGAAAAUGAAUUAAAAAGUUGUCUGAUGAAAGGGGAAAAUUUGGAGCAUAUUUAAAAGAUAACUAUCAGGGAAGAAAUCAAAGGGUUUUUGUGCCAGGUUUUGCUAGAAUAUUUAGCAAUGCAAGUGUGGUGAGUAUCUUUUGUUAUGUGCUAUAUGAUGAAAAACUUUUUUUUUCGUCUUUUUUAUAAUUUGAAACAAAAAAGUGCUUCUGGUUUUUGUAGCUUUUUCUCGUGGGAACUGUGUUAUCUUUGUGCUAAAUCUCAGGAUUACAUGCGUGAGUUGUAAGUACAUGUAUGUUUCUAGUAUGAACUUUAUAUGUGAUACAUGUUGGUAUACAUUAUCUUUGUGGAGAGCCCAAAUGACCUCGUUUUAUAAGUGCUUAAUCUCAGGGGUUCUGCAGGGGGAGAACUUUUUUCCGCGCAAUGGCGACUGGACUAAAGCCGGUUUGACCUCUUGUUUUACGUUACUAGUUUGCCGACAAAAUGUCAUUUGAAAAGACAGGGCGGAACAAUACAGUACACAGCUUGGACCCGAAGCAGUUCAGGUGGGAAAGUAUUCCCAUUGGGUCUGUGAGACGCGUAAAGUUUUAUUUAAAAGAAGGUCUGUCAGCAACCUGCGGGUUUUCCCGGAUUAUGCCCGGUUUCCUCUCACCAUAGUGCGGGCAACUGUCGUAUAAGUGAAAUAUUCUUGAGUACUGCGUAAACCACAAAUGAAAUAAAUAAGUAAAUAAAAACAAAGGGACCAAGUGACAAUUUAGUUCAUUUUUACACAAAAGCAUAUAAGGGGUAGACUGGGGACUAUUCGUUAAAAAAAUGAAACUGAUUUAGUUUAAGACAUUUUAACUAAACAUGAGUUUCCUAUGAUAAAGUAGCCAAUGUUGGUGUCAAACGCAUGACACUUUUUGGCUGUUAGUCUGCUGAUUGGCACAUUGGAUCUACCACUUAUGUAGGGAAUUCCAACAAUUACGCUGAAUUACGUACAGCAUCUUGCAGUUUAAAGUUUACGAAGUAAAAUAUAAUUUUGUUUACGAAGUGAACCCCAUAUAAAUAUAUUUUUGGUUAAAAUCAUGCUUUAAUGCAUGGAUGCUUAAGGCAAGCUCGCCACGGUGGUGACUAAGGAGUCCUUUAUCAACUAGAACCAAAUUACACAGUUUUCACCGAUACUAAAAUGAAUUAUAUUUGAAAGUGUAUAAGUAUACUUUUUAAUCACUUUAUACCUUCGGUUUCCUUCAUGUUUUUUCUUUCGCCCAAGACAAUUAAUCUAUUUUCACAAGUGUGGAUUAAUGAUUGCUUUGCUUUACUUAAACAACACGCCUCGAAAUUGUGAAACGGUCAUGUUUUUAUUUUAUGGUCUUCUUUUAUUUACCAGAAGUAUUUUUUGUUCAAAACUUCCAAGUGUUCCGUUGAAGUUUUCAUAAUGUGACUUUUUCAGCAUCUGACCUGUUGUAACUUAUGUCAUGUUACUCGGAGAGUUACAUCCCUUGAGUCGAGACUCAAUGUUAAUGCGCGUUGUGCGCACAGUGCUAGUUUUCUCAGCAUGUAGUAUUUUAUUUCUAUUAUCAUGAAUUGUAAAUAUUGAUAUGUUACGUUUUCUAUGUGUGACAGAUAUUGCUGAUGUAUAAAUGCUUCUAAAUAACGUGUGAUUCUGCGAGAUUUCUUGUCAAACGUUGUAAAUUGUUUUGGUUCUGGCACAUUAGCGUGUCAGUCCAUGCAGAUCAUGAAUUCACUUUAACAACUUCGUCGUCGAUCUUGCUUUUGAAUAUUGUUAUACUAGGAAAAAGGAAACAAAAGAAUACAUGAAUAAAAAUUACUUUUAACCUGAAAACUUUCACCGUUUCCUUUAUCUCACUG